rnacentral:misc_RNA from 1 species
UGCUAAACUAAGUAUAUAAUCUGAUUGUUAUUUACAUAGGGAAAACAAGUUUGAGGAGGAGAUCUUGAUCCCAAAUGACACGACCAAGGUUCAGCAGGAAACCAGCUCUUGUUCGUCUUCUCUCUGUUGCUGCUCUCUUCUCCAUUAUACUAAUCGCCAUUCAGUCCUCUUUCUUCACUGGUAGUCGGGCUCCCGUUAAUUUGGAUAUUCCGAUCUUGUCCCACUUCCAGUCUAACCUUCAGCAAUGCGUCGCUAAUCGAGGGCUGGGAUUGACUGCUCAUAUAAUUGAUCAUUGCAAUGUCAUUCUCAAGUUUCCCCAAGGAACUAAUAGCACUUGGUAUAAUGAGCAGUUCAAGAUCUUUGAACCAUUGGAGUACAAGUACGACGUUUGCGAAACAAUACUUCUGUGGGAGCAGUACCGUAACAUGACGACAGUGUUGACAAGAGAAUAUUUGGAUUCUCGGCCUGAUGGAUGGUUUGACUAUGCAGCAAAAAGGAUCGCACAGCUAGGAGCAGACAAAUGUUACAAUCAGACUCUUUGCGAAGAACAUCUCAAUCUAACUUUACCAGCUAAGCCCCCGUUUCACCCUCGACAAUUCAGAAGAUGUGCAGUCGUUGGCAAUUCUGGAGACCUCUUGAAGACGCAAUUUGGAGAGGAAAUUGACAGUCAUGAUGCAGUUAUACGAGACAAUGAGGCUCCUGUUAAUGAGAGAUACGCCAAGCAUGUUGGCCUGAAGAGAGAUUUUCGCUUAGUUGUGCGAGGUGCUGCCGGAAACAUGAUUAAAAUUCUCAACGGUUCUGAUGAUGAGGUGCUUAUAAUUAAAAGUGUCAUCCAUAGAGACUUCAAUGCAAUGAUAAAGAAAAUCCGGAAUCCAGUCUAUCUGUUCCAAGGUAUCGUAUUACGCAGAGGUGCGAAAGGAACUGGGAUGAAAUCAAUAGAAUUAGCACUUUCCAUGUGCGACAUUGUUGACAUCUAUGGUUUCACUGUCGAUCCUGGUUACACAGAAUGGACUCGAUACUUUUCCACACCAAGGAAAGGGCACAACCCACUCCAAGGAAGGGCUUAUUAUCAACUCUUAGAAUGCCUUGGAGUCAUACGAAUCCAUUCUCCUAUGCGAGCAAAGAGAAAGCAAGACUGGUCUGAUGUGCCUAGUCGAGAAAUGAUAAACAACGCUCACAGAGCUGCAUUGCAUUUGAAAAAGAAGCAAGCUGGGCAAGAGGGGGGAUUGGGACGAUUUGUUAACUGUAAAGUAUGGGGCAAAUCAGGUCCCUAUGGCACUGGGCCUGUAUCUGGUUCCACAGAUAUGACAGAUACCAGGAAGGAGUCAAAUUACAAUCGAUGGGAAAUCAUGCCUUUUGAGAGCUUGAGGGAGGAAGCACGGAAGCACUAUAUGCAGAUGGAAGGUGUGUCUUUGUACAAGAUGGAUGGGAAUAAGCUGGAUGAUCUAGUCUGCGUGAAACAUCCCCUGAAAUCCGAGGCAUGAAACAAUGGCUUGAUAUGAUGGAUCCAUUUGAGUUGAACCUAAUUAGUAUUUUACAUGCACAAAUACAAGGGAAUCAAGAGUCGUGUUCAACACACCAAGCAGCUUCCUCUUGGAGUGUAAACUAGUAACAACCACCAGAGUGAACUCAGAUCUUCGGAAGUGCGCUGCGAAAUUGUCUGAUUACCUGGUGAUCUGAAUUACUGGAGGAACGAGGAAAGAAGGGACCAGUGUCCUUACUCUUUUCUUAAUUUUGUAAGCAGAGAAAUCUCAUGCUCCAUAUUUUACCUGAUUUUGUUAUUAGGGUUGCUUUUAUUCUUCUCACUGUGAAUUUGUGGUUUUGAACUGUCCUAUCCAGUAUAGUCAAAAGGGAAGGGUGAAGUAGGGAUUGCAGAUAGUGCACGGCAAACACCAUAAACCAGCAAAUACUGUCCUGUAUAGCACGGUUUUUUUAAAACGCUCUUCCCCUGCAACUCCAACAUUCUUUUGCUUCUAACAUUUAUUUUCAUUUUUCAUUGAUGAAUUAUGUACGUUAUACAUUUUGAAUAUGAAUUAUUGAGAUUGUACUUUCACAAAA